rnacentral:lncRNA from 1 species
CUGCCAUUACACAUUCAGGAACCCAAUUCAUUCUGUCCAGCACUUCAGCUGAAGUUCCCCCUCUGUCUCUGUGUCUUCUUCUAUCCCUCUUUGAAGGAGCGUUUCUUUUCCCCUCCCACUCCGCAGAGGCCUGAGGGAAGCAGCUGGACUCUGCGGGUUGCUGCCGAGCCGAGCCGGCGAAAAAACAGACAAAUCAGAGAGGUCUAAUUGUUUUUUAAUGUGGUCGACUGCCAGGCGGGAGGGAUGGUAAAGAGACUGUCGACCUCUAGUGGGCAUAGUUAUCAUUACAGCAGCAAAGGAUGAAGUGAGGAGAAGUAGUAUGAAGAGUGACCACAUGGGGAGAAGGUCAGAGGAAGGACGGAUGACAGGAGAACGCUGAUCGUGUCCAGCGUAAAGACGGAAAAGUCAACAGUUUCCGCUGCGGAUGAAUGUGAACAUCCAGGAGUAUUUGCGGACGGAUUUCUCCUGCAGCUCCGUCACACCGACAUCGAUAUAACGUCAGAAUGGUGCCUGCGAGGACUCGCUUCUCCCUUUCCAAUUAAGAGUCGGGGGCCAUUAUUUUGAACAGG